rnacentral:rRNA from 1 species
CACGUAGGGGGCGAGCGUUGUCCGGAAUUACUGGGCGUAAAGAGCGCGUAGGUGGUUAAGUAAGUCAGGUGUGAAAGGCCAGGGCUCAACUCUGGGACUGCACUUGAAACUGAUUAACUUGAGGGUAGGAGAGGUAAGUGGAAUUCCUGGUGUAGCGGUGAAAUGCGUAGAUAUCAGGAGGAACACCAGUGGCGAAAGCGACUUACUGGCCUAGCUCUGACACUGAGGCGCGAAAGCGUGGGGAGCGAAC